AUCUAUGGCCAUACCACCCUGAACGCAUCUGAUCUCAGAAGCUAAGCAGAGUCGGGCCUGGUUAGUACUUGGAUGGGAGAUGGCCUGGGAAUACUGGGUGCUGUAGGCU
rnacentral:rRNA from 1 species